rnacentral:piRNA from 1 species
UAUAGGACCUUUUUUCAGACA